rfam:Populus trichocarpa scaffold_4_contig_167, whole genome shotgun sequence.
UUUAAAACUCGAGAUAUGGGCCGAACACUAAAUAGUGUCUAGGCUGCAGGAUAGAUUCCGACUUCUCUGUUGUUGUUAUAAUUUGAACUUGAAAACGAUCCUUUUGAAUCUUGGACUCUUCAUGAAAGUUUUAAGCCUAUGUCUUAGCUUUCCAUA